GGAUACGAUACAAUAUGGAGAGGGAUUAAGGUUACGUCUUGUGACACUUCACAUUAUAAGAAAAAAGUCUUCUUCUCCAUUCGUGGCGGUAUUCUUCUGAUCCAACUUUGUCGUCCUCUUCCUCAACGCGUUUCACUCUCUCAUAGCGAAAUCAACACCACGUCAUUGUGGAAAUCAUGCCGCAACCAUUAUUCUUCCACUCAACUCUAUCUUCUGACUUUUCUCGCUUCAUCGCCGUGCAAGAUCUCGGCCGUGCUCUUCUGUUUCUGUUAUCAACAUCUUCAUAGAUUCGUUUGUCUCAGAAUCGCCACUUGCGCUCACUCCGGCCACCACAUAACAGCGUUCGAGCUCGACUUCAUCUCAGAUACGUUGUUCUUCGUGACAUUCCUCUCGAUCAAUUCAAGAACAUUCUUCGAUCUUGCUUUGACACCAUCGAGAAUGAGGUUUUAG